rnacentral:rRNA from 1 species
UACGUAGGGUGCGAGCGUUAAUCGGAAUUACUGGGCGUAAAGCGUGCGCAGGCGGUUUGUUAAGACAGAUGUGAAAUCCCCGGGCUUAACCUGGGAACUGCAUUUGUGACUGGCAGCUAGAGUAUGGCAGAGGGGGGUAGAAUUCCACGUGUAGCAGUGAAAUGCGUAGAGAUGUGGAGGAAUACCGAUGGCGAAGGCAGCCCCCCUGGGCCAAUACUGACGCUCAUGCACGAAAGCGUGGGGAGCAAA